UACGUAGGGUGCAAGCGUUGUCCGGAAUUAUUGGGCGUAAAGAGCUCGUAGGCGGCUUGUCACGUCGGAUGUGAAAGCCCGGGGCUUAACCCCGGGUCUGCAUUCGAUACGGGCAGGCUAGAGUGUGGUAGGGGAGAUCGGAAUUCCUGGUGUAGCGGUGAAAUGCGCAGAUAUCAGGAGGAACACCGGUGGCGAAGGCGGAUCUCUGGGCCAUUACUGACGCUGAGGAGCGAAAGCGUGGGGAGCGAACAGG
rnacentral:rRNA from 1 species